AAAAAGGCAAACCCUGGAUUUCCGUGUCCAACUUUGACUGUCCGUCUUAUAUGAAAUUUUUUUGUAAUUCGUAUUUUUAUUGUUGUUAGAUGAUAAAACAUGAUUAAUAUUUUAUGCGUAACUUGUCUUUUUACUUUUUUUUAUAAUUUUUUCAAAUAAGAUGGAUGGUCAAACGUUGGGCACGGAAAUCAGGGUU
rnacentral:pre_miRNA from 1 species